UGAACUUGGGGCUGUGAGCUGGAGAGAUUCCAGUUUGGAAUAACUGUAAGUAAGUCGUGAAGUGAUUUCCAUGGGAAGAACCCCGAGUUUUGAAGUGCAUCCAACGACAUUUUAUAUUCCAUUUUGUGAUCCUAUUUUUUAAAUCAGCUCAAGUAGUCUCGUAAUCGAUGAAGGUGUGGAAAUGAGUGCAGAGCCAUCAUUGUAAUUUCACAAUGUAUUGUCUCUGUUCUUGUGCUCCUCGUCUUCCAAAAUCCAUCCCCACGAUUUCUGUCCCUUGAGUCCCAAGCAGCACGCUAGCCGUGGGAAGAAAUGCCGCCCGCCUCUUGGACGGCCGUUCUCAAAGUUUACGCUUGAUGACCGUGUCGCCAUAAAGCGGCUGAAGGCGCUGGAUUUUUACAUAUGGAUGCCAUGCAAAGACAAAUUGACAAAACUGACAAACACCAGCUCUCCAACAUCAACGCAAAUGAAUCCGACGAAACACACGAGUGUCUAACUUGUCGCCGCGUCGAUUACGCCACGGAUUUAACCGUCUGCUGGAAUUGUGUACAGGACCCGCCACUUAUUCAUUUGUGCUGCUCCAUUAUGACUUUAGACUCAACGACUUGUUCGAUUAGAAUCUCAUGUAGAUUUUGGAUAGCACAUUUCAGAUGCGAGAUGUAAUCUUGAAUACGUUGCAUGAUAAAAAAACAAAGUUGCAUCACAAUCAAUCGGUCUGACCGUCUCAUCUCAUUGCUAAAUUCACAACGUGCCAGAGCACCACCAAAUUGGAGCAGAUGUUGCUGUUUGGACCGUUUAACUUUUUAUGCCUACAGAGAGAAAGUGAACACAUAUAUUCAGCCAACAUUAGAAAUAAUUAACAGUGUUUGCUUGUCUGCAAGUUACUCUCUGGUUCACGUAGAAUGAUGUGAAACUUUGGAGGCUCGGCCACGGAAUUAAAAAAUAAAUACAAAUCUGAAUCUG